GGAUUCUAUCAGUUUGCUAAAAGAUUUGAUCUUUAAGCUUUAGUUUUCUUUUUUCUUGUAUAAGAAGGGUACAUGUUCCUGCAAGGAAGUCAAAACAUCUUUUUAAACAGAAAAUAUUUAUCGAUAGGCUAUGAAAAGCAGCACCAAAUGAGGCAGACAUUUAGAUUGGGUGUUCCAGUUGUGAGUCAGCCUUAGGGCCAUGGUGAGUGGCUGGGUUCUGUUCAUGUUAUGAAUGGGUUUUGCCUCCUGCUGCCUAGUUUUCUAACUUUGUCUUUAGUGCAAGUUUUCCCGGGUGGACCCACCCAUUCUCGACGAUGUGCGCUGCCUGGUCCUAUUGGAAAAUGCAGAGCUUGCCCAGGUGCAGGCUCAGACAGGUGUGGGGUGGCUCUGCUCCUCCACCCUGAACCAACAUGGCAUCUCCAUGGAGACCACCCCACACACUGAUCUCACGAGGAUAGCCACACCUGAGCACACAACCUUGGGUAGGGACCAGCUUUUCUUUUCUCUUUGGAAAAGAGAAACUGUGUGGGAGAAGGAUGAUUUUACGUGAGUGAAGCGUUCCCUGGCCCUCACACAGCCCAAGGACUAAUGUCUGCACGGGAGGGCGGUGCUCACGGCAGCCUUGGGGAUGAUGCGUGGACCUUCCAGUGGAGCUUGCCUUGGAAACAGGUCUUCCCAGCCUCAAGGAAAUGGCCAGCUGUCUGCCUCUGGCUGUCCUGUUCCCUCAUCACCAGCUUAGAAAGCCUCCAUGGUGUCAUACCGAAUAAAGUCCAGAUUCCUUCACAGGGGACUGCAGGUGGGGAAGACAACAGACUCGAUGGCUUAGCUAAAGCAAGCCUGGUACUUCCCUCAAGCAGCUUGUGGAUUGCAGAUUCCUGCCAGGCCCUCCAGAACCAGCCCAAGGUCUCUUCCCCCAGAUCUGUCUGCUCUCAGCAUUUUCUCCAAAAAGGGCGGAAGCCCAGAGUCUAGUAUUGAGAAAAACCUCGGAUAUGGAAGAAGAGACCCAUCACUCCAGUUCUGUGAAACUGUUGCUAUUCCAAAUGCAACGGAUUCUUGGAGCCUGAGUACAAAGAGGCAGAAGCCUGUCAGGUUUCAACAAACAUACUUUAUUAUACUGUAUAAUUUAAGGUAUCAUUUUAUUCAAGUGACAUUCAAACGUGUGAAAAAACGGUUGCAUAUGCCAUAGCCGUUAAUGAAAUCAUUACGUACAAAUGGUUACGCUUUACCAAGUCAUUCAUUAAAAGUAAAUUAAUGAGGGGGACAGCAUUAAAAAUUUUUGCAAUCAUUACCAGGUCCAGCCUAACCCACUUUUAUAAAUAUUCAUCAACAAAAACGUGCCUCAAGAACUCACCCAGUAAAUUAAAUUCUCGGUCUUGAAGUGUUUUGCUUCUAUUAAUGGCAUCGGCCGUGGUACUUUCUUUGAUUUGUUUUCCGGAACUUUGGGAUAUAUUGUAGGGAAAUAAUGACAAAUUCUGAGUAAUCGCUGAUAAUUAGGCCAAAUCUAUUAUUCCCAUGGUAUUUACAUUUUGAUUACUAUUUUCCCCCCAAAGGCAACAUCUUGAAUCUAUUCUAAUACAAGACAAAAUAGUAUCUGAGAUUGUCAGGGCUGGAAGAAAAUUCAGAAAUUAAAUAGUCCGGCUCUUACCUGAUUUUGAAUCUCCAGUCAGCAUUUCUGCCAGAUGGCCCUUUGGCUUCUGCUUAAAUACCUCCAGUGCUGGGAAACUCAUUACCACUUUAGUGUCCCAUUCCAUUCUUGGACAUCUUUGCUUGUCAUCUUUAUUUCUAAACUGUAUUGAUCACUUUCUAAUUUCCACAUGUGUCCUAAGUCCUGCACUCUGGGGUGGAAAUUAAAGACUUCACAAACACGGGAAGAUUGUCUGGCAGAUGUUAUUACAUUCUUGCCUACCCCCAAGUCUUCCCUCUUUAGGCUAAAUAUCUUCAAAGUACUUGAACCUUCUUCCAAGGAAGUGAACUCCGGACUCUUCACUUUCUUUCCAUUUCCUGCAGAGAAGGACUUUUUUUCUCAGGUCCUGCUCAAUCUUCCCCACCACCCACAAUUUUCUCUGUACUUUAAUAUGGGUAACCCUGAACCAUGUAUGGUGUCCGUGUACAGACUGUUCACUAAUUCUGAGCCUUUUCAGAGUCGUUUCCUCUGUCUGAAAUGCUCUUCACCCCUUUAAAUGCUUGACAAACUCCUAUUCAUCCUGCAGAACCCCUGCUCCAUGGUCAUCUCCUCUGAGAAGCCAUCCUUGAUUGGUUCCCAAUCCCUCUCCUUGAGAGAAUUGAUUACACCUUCUCCUUACAUGGCUUCUAUUCCUUGUAGUUACUUCAUCAUACCUUCCAAGGGAAUGGGAGAGAAGGGGUAGGAGGAUCUCAGGUUCAUGAAGUGUCUACUGAUUAGCCUCUUCCCCCACCCUUUAAAAUAACACAUUCAUUGUCUGACAGUUCUGUAGAGCAGAAAUCCAUUCCUUCACUCAUGGCCUCUUUCCUCCAUCUUCAAAGCUAGCAAAAUUGGGCUGAUUCUUCUCAGAUUAGACUUAUAAUGUUUUUCCUUAAAGUCAUCAGACUAGUAGCCUGAUACUAGCAAUACUCAAGGGAAAGUGGUCAUUCAAAACUUACAUCUUCUGCCCCAUGACCAGCCCACAUUGCUUGUACUGCACUAUCAAAUCACAUUAUUUUGUAAAUAACGUGACUAUUUUGAAAAGAGUCUAAUUUUUAUCAGAUUGUACUUUGCGGGCUAAAAGUGUUAAUUUGUGAAAUGUAAACAUUUAAAACUAUCCACAGUUUUGGUCACCCUGCUUUGACAUUUUAAGAAAUUGUAUUCAGUUUCAGCUUUAGCAUCAGUCCUUCCAAUGAACACCCAGGACUGAUCUCCUUUUGGAUGGACUGGUUGGAUCUUCUUGCAGUCCAAGGGACUCUCAAGAGUCUUCUCCAACACCACAGUUCAAAAGCAUCAAUUCUUCGGUGCUCAGCUUUCUUCACAGUCCAACUCUCACAUCCAUACAUGACCACUGGAAAAACCAUAGCCUUGACUAGAUGGACCUUUGUUGGCAAAGUAAUGUCUCUGCUUUUGAAUAUGCUAUUUAGGUUGGUCAUAACUUUCCUUCCAAGGAGUAAGCGUCUUUUAAUUUCAUGGCUGCAAUCACCAUCUGCAGUGAUUUUGGAGCCCCCCAAAAUAAAGUCUGACACUGUUUCCA
rnacentral:lncRNA from 1 species